rnacentral:rRNA from 1 species
GUGGGGUGACGGCGUGCCUAUCGAAAAAUGAGUCUGCGAGUCAGUGGCGGGUGGCGAGCAUAAGCCGUGUGGCGUAUGCGUAGCGAAAGCGAGUCUUAAAAGGCGUUUUUUAGUCGCUUGUCCUGGACCCGAAGCGGGAUGAUCUAGCCCUGGGCAGGUUGAAGCGCGGGUAAGACCGCGUGGAGGACCGAACCCACCUGGGUUGAAAACCGGGGGGAUGACCUGGGGCUAGGGGUGAAAGGCCAAUCAAAUUCCGUGAUAGCUGGUUCUCUCCGAAAUGCAUUUAGGUGCAGCGUCGGUCGAUUGCGUCGCGGGGGUAGAGCUACCGGAUGCUUGCGGGCCCUUGUUGGGUACCAACAGCAGCCGAACUCCGAAUACCGUUGACGUGUAUUCCGGCAGUGAGUCGGCGGGGGAUAAGCUCCGUCGUCGAGAGGGAGACAGCCCAGACCGUCGUCUAAGGUCCCGAAGCGUGUGCUAAGUGGGAAAGGAUGUGGAGUCGCAUAGACAGCCAGGAGGUUGGCUCAGAAGCAGCCAUCCUUGAAAGAGUGCGUAACAGCUCACUGGUCUAGUGGUUCCGCGCCGACAAUGUAGCGGGGCUCAAGCACACCACCGAAGACGCGGCAGCAAUCUUCAUGGUUGCUGGGUAGGAGAGCGUCCUGCGAGGGGCGAAGCGGCCGGGUAACCGUGCCGUGGACUUCGUGGGAGUGAGAAUGCAGACAUGAGUAGCGAGAGACGGGUGAGGAUCCCGUCCGCUGGAUGACCAAGGGUUCCGGGGCCACGUUCGUCGUCCCCGGGUGAGUCGGGUCCUAAGGCGAGGCCGACAGGCGUAGUCGAAUGGAUGAACGGGUGGAUAUUCCCGUACCGACCAUGGACCGGCAAAACCGAGACGGUGAGUACUAACCUCCGCCUCGUGGUGGUUCCUUCCUUCGGGUUGGUAUCGCCGCGUGGUGUUGGGAGCGUAGCCGCAGUAGGUCAGCGCAGGGGUGACACGGAAUGGGAGCCGGCCGCGGAGGUGGUUUUCCGUGGUCAAGCACGCAGCCAGUCAUGUAGGCAAAUCCGCAUGGCGCGCAUGGCGAGGUGUGAUGAUGGGAGCCGUUAUGGCUCGAUAUCCGGUUGUCCAGGCCGUCGAGAAAAGCCUCGGCGUGAGGGCCAUGGCCGCCCGUACCCCAAACCGACACUGGUGGUCAGGUAGAGAAUACCAAGGCGAUCGAGCGAAUCCUGGUCAAGGAACUCGGCAAAUCACUCCCGUGCCUUCGGUAUAAGGGAGACCCGCUGGGGUGAACCGGCUAGCCCGGGGAGCUUUGGUGGGUGGCACAGACCAGGGGGUAGCGACUGUUUACCAAAAACACAGGUGCAUGCGAAGGCGCAAGCCGCUGUAUAUGCACUGACGCCUGCCCGGUGCCGGAAGGUUAAGAGGAUCCGUCAGCCUUCGGGUGAAGCGGUGAAUUCAAGCCCCGGUAAACGGCGGUGGUAACUAUAACCAUCCUAAGGUAGCGAAAUUCCUUGUCGGGUAAGUUCCGACCUGCACGAAUGGCGUAACGACUUCCCCACUGUCUCGACCAGGAGCUCGGCGAAAUUGCAGUACGAGUAAAGAUGCUCGUUAAGCGCAGAAGGACGAAAAGACCCCGGGACCUUUACUAUACCUUGGUAUUGGCAUUCGGUGUGGAUUGUGUAGCAUAGGCGGGAGGCCGAGAGGCGCGGUCGCCAGAUCGCGCGGAGCCGUAAGGUGAAAUACCGCUCUGUUCGCAUUGGAUGUCUAACCUCGAACAGUCAUCCUGUUCAGGGACAGUGCCUGGCGGGUAGUUUAACUGGGGCGGUUGCCUCCCAAAGAGUAACGGAGGCGCUCAAAGGUCCGCUCAGCCCGGUUGGCAAUCGGGUGUCGAGUGUAAUCGCACAAGCGGGCUUGACUGCGAGGACGACGGUCCGAGCAGGGACGAAAGUCGGAGAUAGUGAUCCGGUGCCGGCGCACGGGCGCGGCAUCGCUCAACGGAUAAAAGGUACCCCGGGGAUAACAGGCUGAUCAUUCCCAAGAGUCCAUAUCGACGGGAUGGUUUGGCACCUCGAUGUCGGCUCGUCGCAUCCUGGGGCUGGAGCAGGUCCCAAGGGUUCGGCUGUUCGCCGAUUAAAGCGGCACGCGAGCUGGGUUCAGAACGUCGUGAGACAGUUUGGUCUCUAUCCUCUGCGCUCGUUGGAAUCCUGAGGAGGCCUGCCCAUAGUACGAGAGGACCUGGGUGGACGAACCUCUGGUAUGCCGGUUGUCGCGCCAGCGGCAUGGCCGGUUGGCUACGUUCGGGAGGGAUAACCGCUGAAAGCAUCUAAGCGGGAAGCCUGCUCCGAGAUCAGGAUUCCGUGACCCCUUUCGGGGGUCUGGAGACUCCAUGGAGAACACGUGGUUGA